CUGCAACUGACAAUCAAAACAGCUGAAAGGAUUGUCGGUACACCCCUACCCACUUGAGGACUUGCACGCUGCCAGAACUAAGAAAAUCCUCUUGGACCCUCCACAUCCCGGUCACCAGCUCUUCCAGCUUCUUCCCUCAGAUCGGUUCCAACUACUGGAGACAAAUUCCUUGUGGGUUUUUGACAUACUUGGCAAAUAAGGAUGGUUCUGAUUCUGAGUCUGAUUCUGAACAGGUUAAUUGGAAACAGCACCCCGAUGAUCUCUCACAGCACAGUGAUUGGGAAUUAUUGGUCUAACAUGUGAGUCCAGGCCCAAGAGGAUGAUCAUGAGGAAGAAGCAGACGGCCCACACUUGAGGCAGCGGCAUCAUGGC